rnacentral:rRNA from 4 species
GGGUUGCGGACAGUGUCUGGUGGGUAGUUUGACUGGGGCGGUCUCCUCCUAAAGAGUAACGGAGGAGCACGAAGGUUGGCUAAUCCUGGUCGGACAUCAGGAGGUUAGUGCAAUGGCAUAAGCCAGCUUGACUGCGAGCGUGACGGCGCGAGCAGGUGCGAAAGCAGGUCAUAGUGAUCCGGUGGUUCUGAAUGGAAGGGCCAUCGCUCAACGGAUAAAAGGUACUCCGGGGAUAACAGGCUGAUACCGCCCAAGAGUUCAUAUCGACGGCGGUGUUUGGCACCUCGAUGUCGGCUCAUCACAUCCUGGGGCUGAAGUAGGUCCCAAGGGUAUGGCUGUUCGCCAUUUAAAGUGGUACGCGAGCUGGGUUUAGAACGUCGUGAGACAGUUCGGUCCCUAUCUGCCGUGGGCGCUGGAGAACUGAGGGGGGCUGCUCCUAGUACGAGAGGACCGGAGUGGACGCAUCACUGGUGUUCGGGUUGUCAUGCCAAUGGCACUGCCCGGUAGCUAAAUGCGGAAGAGAUAAGUGCUGAAAGCAUCUAAGCACGAAACUUGCCCCGAGAUGAGUUCUCCCUGAGACUUAGAGUCUCCUGAAGGAACGUUGAAGACGACGACGUUGAUAGGCCGGGUGUGUAAGCGCAGCGAUGCGUUGAGCUAACCGGUACUAAUGAACCGUGAGGCUUAACCUUAC